ensembl:snRNA U6 U6 spliceosomal RNA
UUUUGCUCACUUCAGCAAGACAUACACUAAAAUUGGAAUGAUACAGAAAAAAUUAACCUGGUUCCUGUGCAAGGAUGACAUGCAAAUUUGCAAAGCAUUCCAUAUUUGU